UGAGGAAUAACAUUACAACUUCUUGACAUUAUGUUCCCAACCAUGUGUAUCCAUACAUAAAUACAUAUGGGCACAUUAUCCGUGAAAAGAGAAUUUUACAUCACCAGAUCCAUGGGUAGUUGAUUCUUUUCUCAUCAUUUCUCCCUUAGAUUCGAAGAAAUGGAAAGGAGGUCCCUCCAUUGUGACAAAGGCAACAAUAUUAGAUAUGGUAAAACCCAAAAAGUGGUCAAAGAAUAGGAUAUGGUAUAUAUGAAAAAAAAUGUUUAUAUCAUUAAUAUUUUAACAAAU
rnacentral:lncRNA from 1 species